AGGUAGGUGAUGUUGCGGGAGCGCGAGAGCUGGUACGCGAUGUCCUCGGCCGCCUCCAGCUUGCGCAGCUCGAUCAGCCCGUCCCCGGCCGUGGCCAGGGAGUUGGCAAUGAGCUCUGCUGCCUUGGAGUCCCCCUCAGCAGAGAUCACAGCUGCCUUCUUCUGCUGCUCGGCCUGCAAGCGAAAGGAGAGGGUGAAGGGAUGAUUUUCUGCAGAGGAAACGAGCCAAGCAAAGGCUGGUGCUGUUCUUGUGUUGGAAACCCCCAGUCCCACCUCCUGUUCUCUCCCUCAGGCAGAAAGUCAAGGUAAGUUCACUUUUUACUGUUUUUCUGCCUACUGUGGAGGAAAAAAAAAGACAAUUCCAAGAUGAUUUUCAACCUCAGGAAACAUUAAUCCACCUGAGGGUGGAAAAUUGUCCAGGAGGGAUUGGAGAACUUCAGCAACAGAGUUCAAGCCAGGUCAGAUCAACUGUUUAAUCACCCUGGCUGAUGACAUGGAUCUUGCUGCACUCAACAGGCACAGAAGAGCUGAGAACACCUGUACUGAACAUGGAAUUGUCUCUGCAGGUGCUCCCUGAGAUCCUGGGUUGAUCCAAGAUUACCUGUCAGUAACACUCCCAGCACACAGGCAUUUCCAGGAACACUGACUGGGACAGGAUAUGAAAAAAGGACCCCCAAACCCACCCUGGGGCUUUAUCCAGGGCCAUCUCAGCACUGUGACCCUCAGGGACUCUGUCCUUCACCUGCCCAGGCUCUGAGCAGCUGAGCAAGAUGUUCACUGGAAGCUGGAGUGGGAGGGAGGCACCAGGAACCAAUUCCAAGUUUCUCAGAAGGACAAAUUACCUUUUCCACAAUGAAUCUGGCUCUCUCUGCUUCCUGCUGGGCCACCUGCUUCAUUUCCACCGCCUCUGUGAACUCCUUGCCAAAGGUCAGAUGGGUCUGGAGGGCACAAACCAAGCCAAGUCCACAACACUGACAGUUCUCAGCAGCUCUGCUGUGACCCUGCCUGGCCCAGGGACACUGGAAUGGGGGGGAAAAGCCAGGAUCCCCAAAAAAUCCCCAUCCCACAGCCAUCCCCAUCCUCAGCCCGGGCUGCCUGGACAGCUGAGAGCUCCUGGGAUGGGACAGGGGAAAGCUCAGCUUCCUCCAGGAGUGUGCUCAGGGGAAAAGCCCCAGAAACAAAGUGUCAAAAAUGACAUUUUGCAGAAACAAAGUCACCUCCCUGCAAACACUU